CAAAAAGAUUCUAUUUUAUUUGUUUGAAAAUACACUUUUUGUUUGCAAUGAUUGGAAUUUUGAGUCGCUGUCCAUCUGGAACUUGUUCCCCAAGUUUUCUCUGUCAACAUUCAACAAAAUAAUUGUAAGUAUCUAAGGCUGGUUACCAAGCUUUAGUUCUUUAUGGUACCGACCGAAAUGCUUCGAUACUACCUGGUAUCGAAACGUGCCUUGUUUUUCAGGCCGAAGUUUCGAAACCUACGGAGUUAGUCACAUGAUCAAGAUCACAAGAUCUGAUAAUGCUGCUGGUGAUUGGCUGUAACAUUACAUGUGGUAGAAUACAAUGCGGUUACGCCCACAGACCACGUUCAUGUGUUUUCCGUGUUGUUAACUAUACAUACUGUAAGUGUGUUGUGACUUGUGAUGAAGGGGCUAAAAAUGCUUUGGAGGUCGAAAGUGAGGCUUCAUUUCAACAAAAGUAAUAUUAAUAUGGUGUGCAACACAAUAUUUGUAAAAUAGAUAUUGCCACUAAGGUCGGAAACACAACGUUUAACAAAGCACCCGAACGUGCACUGCAUCAACCUCAGAGCAGAAAGUUGCUCAGUAUUUGAAUGUAAGAAGAGCGAAGCGCAGCCAUCCACCUACUCUCAACCACAGCUGUACUGUGGAUGUUACAGAGCGGCCUGAUUUAAAAUCACCACCGGACUCUGCUUCAUCCAUGAGUACUGACAGCGCUGUGUCGAGGAUUUCAACAGUGACCUCUGACCCUGAUGUGAGGAGGCGCACAAGGCCAGUCAGUGUGAAUCUGUUCACACUGGCAGAAAAA